rnacentral:rRNA from 1 species
UACGAAGGGGGGCUAGCGUUGUUCGGAUUUACUGGGCGUAAAGCGCGCGUAGGCGGCUUUUUCAAGUCGAUUGUGAAAUCCCCGGGCUUAACCUGGGAACUGCAGUCGAGACUGUCUAGCUAGAGUAUGGGAGAGGGAAGUGGAAUUUCAGGUGUAGCGGUGAAAUGCGUAGAUAUCUGAAGGAACAUCAGUGGCGAAAGCGACUUCCUGGACCAAUACUGACGCUCAUGUGCGAAAGCGUGGGGAGCAAACAGG